rnacentral:sRNA from 1 species
GCUGGGUACAGUGGUGCACACCUGUAAUCCCAGUGACUUGGAAGGCUGAGGCAGGAGGAUCACAAGUUCAAAGCCAGCCUUAAUAACCUUGUGGAGCCCUCAAAAACCUAGUGAGACCCUGUUUCAA